rnacentral:tRNA from 1 species
AGGUCAGAGCGAUGGAACAAGAGGACUCAUAAUCCUUGGGUCGCGGGUUCGAGCCCCGCACGGCCUA